CGCGGCCUAUCAGCUUGUUGGUGGGGUAAUGGCCUACCAAGGCGAUGACGGGUAGCCGGCCUGAGAGGGCGACCGGCCACACUGGGACUGAGAUGCGGCCCAGACUCCUACGGGAGGCAGCAGUGGGGAAUAUUGCACAAUGGGCGAAAGCCUGAUGCAGCAACGCCGCGUGCGGGAUGACGGCCUUCGGGUUGUAAACCGCUUUCACCAGGGGCGAAUUUGACGGUACCUGGAGAAGAAGCACCGGCUAACUACGUGCCAGCAGCCGCGGUGAUACGUAGGGUGCGAGCGUUGUCCGGAUCUAUUGGGCGUAAAGAGCUCGUAGGUGGUUUGUUGCGUCGGAAGUGAAAACACAGGGCUUAACUCUGUGCUUGCUUUCGAUACGGGCAGACUUGAGGAAGGUAGGGGAGGACGGAAUUCCUGGUGGAGCGGUGGAAUGCGCAGAUAUCAGGGGGAACACCAGUGGCGAAGGCGGUUCUCUGGACCUUUCCUGACGCUGAGGAGCGAAAGCGUGGGGAGCAAACAGGCUUAGAUACCCUGGUAGUCCACGCCGUAAACGGUGGGCACUAGGUGUGGGGGACAUUCCACGUUCUCCGUGCCGUAGCUAACGCAUUAAGUGCCCCGCCUGGGGAGUACGG
rnacentral:rRNA from 1 species